CGGGAUGUGGCUCAGCCUGGUAGAGCACUGCCUUCGGGAGGCAGGGGUCGGAGGUUCAAAUCCUCCCAUCCCGACCA
rnacentral:tRNA from 1 species